GAGACUCCGACUGUCCCGAAGGAGAAGCUGCGGCCGGAGACGCGCGUGGCCAGGCUGGUGCCGGGCAGAGCCACCGCCGGCCUCGGAGGGCGGGGCUCGCGUCCCCAGAGCUUCGCCGCCUUCAGGUUGCGAAGUGGGGCCUCUCCGCGUCCUUCCAUUUACACGGGAGCCAAUGACCGUGGUCCUCCCCACCCCACCGUGACCUCUGAUGAGGAGAGGAAGGGAGCAGUAUUCCAGUUCACCUUCUGUUUACUAUCCUCGCCCCGGACAAUCCACUGCCAGGGCUGCCCGACCCACAAUCAGCUUCGGGAUCAGAUGGGCUUGGUUUGGAUUCUGCUAGAGUUACUACCCGCCUUAGGCAGGUCACCUGGCCUCCCCGAGUCUCCAGCUCCAGACUGAAGAACAGUGUGGCUGCACCCACCCCCAGGGACAGCGCUUUGUGUGAGCCGGUGGUGAGGCUGAGCCCAGAGCCAGCUAGGCAAGGUGGGGGGACCUCGGCCCUUCCUGCUGAGACUGGGGGCCUAGAGGAUGUCAGAGUUUGCUCAGGCUCUGGGGCCUCAGGGAAGCACAGGGGCCUGCUCCUUGGGGGCCACCUGCAGGGUGUGGCCAUGGCCAUGUCGUCUGGUCCUGGGUGGGGCUGACUCGCCCCUGCUGGUGGCUGGCACACAGUAGGUGCUUAGACUUGGGACUUCUUAGGACUUCCUCCUGGAGGGGCUGGCGGUCUGGGGGUACUGCUGACAUUGCCGUGGGAGCACCAAGCCCUUUGCAGUGUCUCUCAACGUCAAGUCCUCCUGCCUUUGGCCUGACGAAGGCUCUGUGCUGCCGCCCUGGUCAGAGGGCUGGCUGCCACCAUGUGCAACUCGGUGAGGAAGGGAGCCUGGCUGUAAGGUGCAGUUUUCCAGGUCGGCUGACUUCCAGGCAUGGGGCAGGGAGGUAAGAAAGGCUGGGGUUCCUGGUGACAAGGGAGGAAGUUCCCUUCCGGAGCACUGGCUGUGGAGGCACAGGCAGCGGGCACUGCGUGGGGCAGAGACGCGUCCUGCCCACCCCCGGCUUUGUCUCUUCAUCCAGGGGGCUUUCCAGGGGAUCCGUCAGCCCUGGCCGUGGGCUCUCUCCCUUUCUAGGAGCCUAGCACACAGUAGGUGCUCAGCAAACAUUUACUAAAUGACCCAGCUUAGCUCGGCACCUUCUCUUUCUGCUGGGCAGUGGAGGUGCUGGAAGGAUUAUUCACCCCCCAAUGUCACUCGUACCCGCCACAGCUCCGCAGGUCGGCCUCUUGUCUGGGAACAUGGGUGGCCUUGGCCGUGCCUGGGAGGGAAACAGGGUUGCAAGAGGCGGGGGAGAUUUAGGCUUUGGAAGCUGGCCUCUCUGAGCCACUGCAGCCUGGACUUCUAGCCCUGCACCUCAGUUCUGCUGCAUCCGGUGUCCCCGACCAGCGCACGGCAGGAGGGAAAGCUGCCCGAGAACCACCUGGACCCUCGGCCUCCUCCAGCCGGUCACCACACGCUGGGCAGGAGCUGCUGGGGCCAUUCUGGGACGCCUGUCUACUGUCCAGGGAUGACCAAGGGCUUGACAGGGAGACAGGCCUCUUUCUGGAAGCCAGGGCUGGCUUUCCAGGACGGGGACCAGGGAAGGGCGGUGUGGCCCUGGGGUUCCUCCGCUGACCCUGACCUACCCGAGUGCUGACCCCAAUGGGAGUUGGAUUUGGCAGAGAAGGUGCUGGUGGCACUCAGGGGACUCGCCAUACCGAGAUGGGUCAUGGCAGCAGAACUCUGGGGUCCCGAGCCCUCACCUGGAUUGUAAAAUCCACCCUGAUCCGGCUUGUCCCCAGCCCCCAGUCUCCGGGCCCUCGCUGGCCUGCCUCGAUCCUGACCUGCUCAGGGUGCCGUGACCUUCUCACUCUGAGCUCCUUGUGGGCUGGUCAUUGUGGCUGGGGAGGGGAGGGAGGGGGAAGGGGGCGCAGAGGCAACAGUCUGGGGGCGUUCAUUUAAGAUUCUCCCAUGUUCCUUGGUGCCGGGAGCCGGUCCAUGCUUGCUGUUUCAAGGGACCUGGCAUAUAUGGCAUACUGUUCUUAAUAUGUUUGCUCACCUUCUUGGCACUAUGUGUUUUAACCAAGGUCUCUGA